UGUGCUGCACACGCAGAUUACCAUUCUGAAUCUGACUCACUCUCGCUCUCCUCUCGAGUUCCGAAUCCAAAGUCCUCUAUGGAGAUCGAAGGGAUUUUGUUUUGUCUUCGUCUCCGAGUCCGUUUUGCUGCUGCAGGAAUGGAUCUCCGGCGAACCAUCGGCCAAUUUUCGCAGUCUCUAAUUUCGCACUGGAUCUCUGAUGUGAGCUUUGCGGAGAUGAUUCUUCGCGGUGCGGUCGGUCGCCUGGCAUUGACAUUGUCUCCUAUAGCUGCAAGGUUGCAGAUGGAGCAGCUUUAUCAGCUGGAUCUGAAGCCGGUUUGGAGACGUUGGAUGGUUGGUCGAAGGCAAGGCUGGAGGAUUGAUUGUGGCUGGUUUGGUCUGAUUUGGAUGGCGUCGGGUGUCUGAUAUUCAAAAUUUUCAGGAAGCUCUGUUUGGCUGCUUCAAUGAAUCGGUUGGGGGGUUUGAGGAUUUUUUGAAUUAUUGAAUUGGCGGUUGGAGUCGAGAGGAGCUCUCUUGUGGGUGUUUCAGGGAGGUCUGGUUUCUCUUCUAUUGUUUUUCAGUUUUUUUAUUGAUUGUGCUGGGAGGUUUGUAGCCUGAUCGAUUUCAGGUGAUGGUUUUUUGUGGAGCGGUGGCGGAUGGGUGAUCUCGACUCAUCGGGAUGGAUUGAGCGGUUUUUUCGUUGUUUGUUUUGGGAGAUACCAACGGUUGGUGUUUGUUUGGCGUGGUCUUGAAAUAUUUGGAGAAGCUUCGUGUCCUUGGCUGGAUAAAUAUGGUAUGUAUAUAAACAAUUGCACACAGUGCGAUGUGUUAUUUAGAAGCUCCCUUUGUAGCAUAAACUGCAACUGCAGCGGAUAGGUAAGCAGGUAUGCAUAGCCAUUAGCUGGCCUGUUUAAUUUACGAAAGGACAAACAGCAUGGAGCCCAGUAUUAUGAUGGCAAAGGCUGGAAUAUCUCACAGGUGUUAGCCCAGAAAAUAAGAGAGCCACGCGGCCAGCUUGUGUCCGACAGUAUCACCAGACACGACAAGGCCCAUUUAACAAGGAUGUCGGUGCGGAGCAGACAGGGCAACGUGCUGUCUGGAAGCUGCUUGCUCAUUCGAACCCAUUCGGCCCAAAUAAAUCCUUCGAGGCAAGUUCAUAACAGCAGCAAUCACGGGCUGCCGGCCACCAACCGACAAGAUAUAUAUAAGCUGUCUUGUUUAUCCGUUAGGCCCAAACUUGUCAUCCGACACGACCACGUGCUGCCUACCGGUUCCAGACACAGUCACGUGCUGCACUACAAAAACCGGCAGAAGACAUAUAUUCUCGUCUUAUAUAUUGGGCCCCAAUCAAUUCAUUCAAGGCCCAACAGCAGCCCAUAAUAGCAGUCAGACAUGCAUACUUCUGUCGGCCCAUAGCCAACAUAGCCGUUACAUUCAAACGUCUGUAUCUUCAUUCCCAUCCGACAUGGCCACGUGCUGUGUGCAAUCUUCCGACAGUGCCACGUGAUGUCGGUGCAGAACAGACAGGAUUAAUAUUUGGGCUCAUACAAAUUCAGCCCAAAUAAAUUCUUUGAAAACCCAACAUGUUUAUAAGGCCCAAUAGAAGCCCGUUAUCAAGUUAUUCAAGGCCCAAGACAGUAGCCCAUAAUAGCAGUCAGACAUGCCUACGCUCUGUUCGGCCCAUAGCCAACAUAGACGUUAGAUUCAAACGUGAUGUCGGUGCAGAACAGACAGGAUUUAUAUUUGGGCUCAUACGAAUUCAGCCCAAAUAAAUUCUUUGAAGGCCCAACGUGUGUUUUUUAAGGCCCAAUCUCAGCCCAUUAUCAAGUCAUUCAACGCCCAAGACAGUAGCCCAUAAUAGCAGUCGGGCAUGCGUAUGUUCUGUCGGCCCAUAGCCAACAUAGCUGUUAGAUUCAAACGUAUGGAUUUUCAUUCGCAACCGACAUGGUCACGUGCUGUGUGCCACCUCCCGACAGUGCCAGGUGAUGUCGGUGCAGAACAGACAGGAUUUAUAUUUGGGCUCAUACGAAUUCAGCCCACAUAAAUUUUUUGAAGGCCCAACGUGUGUUUUUCAAGGCCCAAUCUCAGCCCAUUAUCAAGUCAUUCAAGGCCCAAGACAGUAGCCCAUAAUAGCAGUCGGGCAUGCCUAUGCUCUGUGGGCCCAUAGCCAACAUAGCCGUUAGAUUCAAACGUAUGGAUUUUCAAACGUCAUCCGACAUGGCCACUGCUGUGUGCCAUCUCCCGACAGUGCGCCAGGUGAUGUCGGUGCAAAACAGACAGCAUUUGUAUUUGGGCUCGUACGAAUUCGGCCUAAAUAAAUUAUUUGAAGGCCCAACGUGUGUUUUUUUCAAGGCCCAACGUGCCAAACAUCGCCAGGUGAUGUCGGUGCAGAACAGACAGGAAAUAUACAUUGAGCUCAGCCAUUCGCCUAGAAAGCCGACAUGUCCAUUUACUGUCGGCCCAUAUGCAACAGGGCCAACAGAUGCCCAAUAUGGCCCGUCCAUAUUCUCAAGUGCUGGCGGCCCACUUGACUAAGACGCGUUUUGUGUGGUCCAGGUCAAACUGGCCCAAUGGUUUGCUCUUCGAGGCACAUUCUACAUGCCCUGGCGUUGUUGGUUCAGUCAAUCUGGCCCCAUGUGCUCGCCGCAGCUUGAUUAUAAAUUAAGAGUAGUAUAUUUGAUUGAAUCUUUUACAUUUAAUCAGGUAAUAAAUUUUA